rnacentral:tRNA from 1 species
GCUCUCGUAGCUCAGUUGGUAGAGCGCGGCACUAGUACAGUCACGUGAUAAUGCCGAGGUCUACGGUUCAAAUCCGUACGGGAGCA